GCCUCAGUGGUGUAGUGAUAGCACGUGCCCCUGGGAAUGGGUGAAACGCGGGUUUAACUCCCGUUUAAUGGCA